GAAAGUAAAGUCAGAAUUACAGAAUGUAAAUUCACAUUUUGAAGACUUAAAAAACCUUCAUAAAUACCACAUUACAGACUGAAGUCAGUUUGUGAUUAUGGAGAACAGAGAGAGCAGUCAGAGAUCUUCAUCUCCUGAUCACAGCUGUGUGUCUCUGAAGAGUGACAGAUCCAUGUAUCUUCCUCAUUCAUUCAGUGAUGAAGCAGUGACCUCUGACCCCAGAGUGUUUAAAGAUGGCCAAACUAGAGACCUGCAGCAGGAUUCUCUUCAACCAGUGAAUGAUGAACUACAGAGAGUCAAAGACCAGCUCAAAACCAGCAUGAAGAACAAGUAUGAGAGAUUAUUUGAGGGAAUGAAACUCCAGGAGAAUGAAAGCCUCCUGAACAGGAUCUACACACAGCUCUACAUCAUAGAGGGAGAGAGUGAAGCAGUGA